rnacentral:misc_RNA from 1 species
UUUCCGUAGGUGAACCUGCGGAAGGAUCAUUCAUAAUAAGUGUUUUAUGGCUCUUUUUUAAAUCCAUAUCCGCGUUGUGUGCAAUGUCAGGGUUGAUUUUUCUCUCGAGAGGAUCAGCCCCAAACAUGAACUAUAUCUCAACUCUUUGUCUGAAAAAUAUUAUGAAUAAAAACAAUUCAAAAUACAACUUUCAACAACGGAUCUCUUGGCUCUG